ensembl:snoRNA
UGCCUCCCGGUGCUUACCACAGGUAGCGGGCUUACAUUGACUUUAUAGAAAAAAGAGGGAGAAUAAGCCUGUGCCCCCCAUACACCUCAGCCCAGGCCUUGCACCUUGUCCAUACUGUGAAUGGGGAAACAAGG